rnacentral:rRNA from 1 species
AACGAACGCUGGCGGCGUGCUUAACACAUGCAAGUCGAACGAGAAAGCUCCUUCGGGGGUGAUUAGAGUGGCGCACGGGUGAGUAACACGUAGGUGACCUACCUCAUAGUGGGGGAUAACUGAAAGAAAUUUCAGCUAAUACCGCAUAAUCAAAACAAUUUUGAACGUAGUUUUGUAAAGGAUGCCUCUCCUUGGAAGCAUUCGCUAAGAGAUGGGCCUGCGGCGCAUUAGCUUGAUGGUGGGGUAAUGGCCUACCAUGGCGACGAUGCGUAGCCGGGUUGAGAGAUCGAUCGGCCACACUGGAACUGAGACACGGUCCAG